AAGGUCUGGAAGCCAGGAGAUUCUAAAUGUGUUUAUGUUAAUUAAAAGGUCUAGAAGCCAGGAGAUUCUAAAUGUGUUUAUGUUAAUUAAAAGGUCUAGAAGCCAGGAGAUUCUAAAUGUGUUUAUGUUAAUUAAAAGGUCUAGAAGCCAGGAGAUUCUAAAUGUGUUUAUGUUAAUUAAAAGGUCUAGAAGCCAGGAGAUUCUAAAUGUGUUUAUGUUAAUUAAAAGGUCUAGAAGCCAGGAGAUUCUAAAUGUGUUUAUGUUAAUUAAAAGGUCUAGAAGCCAGGAGAUUCUAAAUGUGUUUAUGUUAAUUAAAAGGUCUAGAAGCCAGGAGGUUCUAAAUGUGUUUAUGUUAAUUAAAAGGUCUAGAAGCCAGGAGAUUCUAAAUGUGUUUAUGUUAAUUAAAAGGUCUAGAAGCCAGGAGGUUCUAAAUGUGUUUAUGUUAAUUAAAAGGUCUAGAAGCCAGGAGGUUCUAAAUGUGUUUAUAUUAAUUAAAAGGUCUGGAAGCCAGGAGAUUCUAAAUGUGUUUAUGUUAAUUGCCGUGAGACCGACCAGUUAUUGUCUUGACAAUCACCUGCUGACUAAAAUUUGUGACCGCCACAAUGUGUUAAAACUCAGCCAGAGGAAAUGCUUUGUGGAAGUUUGGCUUUCUUGAAAAGAGGAAAUUCUUACACCCCCAUUGACUUGCAAAAGUUUCACUUAAAAAAAAAAAAAAAA